rnacentral:rRNA from 1 species
UUUUCCUCAUCCGCGGUAAUACGUAGGUGGCAAGCGUUGUCCGGAUUUACUGGUCGUAAAGGAUGUGUAGGCGGAUAUUUAAGUGAGAUGUGAAAUCCCCGGGCUUAACUUGGGGGCUGCAUUUCAAACUGGAUGUCUAGAGUGCAGGAGAGGAAAGCAGAAUUCCUAGUGUAGCGGUGAACUGCGUAGAGAUUAGGAAGAAUACCAGUGGCGAAGGCGUCUUUCUGGCCUGUAACUGACGCUGAGGCAUGAAAGCGGGGGGAGCAAACAG